CUUCAAAGACAAAGGCAGAGCAGCUGCAAAGGUGGCACAAGUGGGUGUCACCAUCUCCUCACAAAGCAAGGAGCCUCAUCCUCCCCACCCACCAGAAACCAGGAGUCCACCUCUGGGCUGAGGCUGCCGUCUGGAGAUGUGUGCUGCCAAUGGACAUCUUAUAGCCCCUAAGUCGGCAGGAGGCCGGCCUGCUGUGCCGCACAGCAAGAGACCCGGACCGGACUCAGGCCACAGGUGGACAGCACGCCAGAGCUCAGAGCCCAACGAAGAGCAAGGUGGCAGUGGCACUCAGCUGGCAGCCCCAGCGAGGGCCAGGUUCCCUGUGCAGGACUCCUGAGGAGUGUGGUGGGAAGUUCAGUCAGGAUGUGUGCAGCAUGAAUUCUGCAGCACGCAGUGCGUUGAUCUGGGUUGGACGAG
rnacentral:lncRNA from 1 species